rnacentral:rRNA from 1 species
CACCGCGGUUAUACGAGAGGCUCAAGUUGAUAGACAGCGGCGUAAAGAGUGGUUAAGGAAAAUAUUAAAUUAAAGCGGAAAGCCCUCAAUGCUGUUAUACGCCUUCGAAGAGACUGAACCACAACUACGAAAGUGGCUUUAUUUAACCUGAACCCACGAAAGCUAAGAAA